GAUGAAGAACGUAGCGAAAUGCGAUAAGUAAUGUGAAUUGCAGAAUACAGUGAAUCAUCGAAUCUUUGAACGCACAUUGCGCCCCCUGGCAUUCCGGGGGGCAUGCCUGUUCGAGCGUCAUUACAACCCUCAAGCUCUGCUUGGUAUUGGGCUCUGCCGGUCCCGGCAGGCCUUAAAAUCAGUGGCGGCGCCACUCGGCUUCAAGCGUAGUAAUUCUUCUCGCUUCGGAGACCCGGGUGCGUGCUAGCCAGCAACCCCCAACUUUCUCAGGUUGACCUCGGAUCAGGUAGGGAUACCCGCUGAACUUAAGCAUAUCAAUAAGCGGAGGA
rnacentral:misc_RNA from 1 species